ensembl:lncRNA
CGCUUUCCUUACGGGCAUUUUUGCGUGGCUGGUUCGCUUACAGGCUUUGCUUGGGUUGUGUUGCUUGGGUUGUCUGUUUAGUUUUGUUUUUCUCUGUUUUUGUUUUCUUUUCUGUUAUUUUUCGUUGUUCUGUUUGUUGCUACUUUUUGUUGACUUUAGUUUUGGAUCUUUUUGGCUUGCAAACACAUGUAUUUUGAGGCUAAUUGUUAAAUGAGUGUUUUCCAGCUUCACACCUGUUCUUUCAGAGCUUACUGGGCAAUGCCACAUGGACUACACAGAGUACAUAUAAAGUGGAGUGAAGUGGUGAAGGCUCUGGGUUAUGAAUCGGAAAGGUCGGAGGUUCAAGCCUCGGCGCUACCAAACCACCACUGUUGGGCCUCUGAGCGACGCCCUUAACCCUCUCUGCAGAGGUGCCUUACCCCUCUCCAAAUCGGCCGGACCCUGUGCUCUGACCCUGGGGUUAACGGUUGUGACUGAUCUAUGGCGUCUUACGUUGUUCACCUCAAAUAUCAACUCUUCCGGAAACUGUCUGCCUACACGAAGACUGUAACAGUUCUCCACUGAAUGCCCUCAUUUGGGAUGACACUGUAAAUAUCCUCGAGCCACGAGCUCCAUCUGCAACCAAGCACACAUAGCUGUGUCAAGGACAGCAACAGCAAAGAAGAUAAUGGUGUAGCUCAUAAACAGAUCAUCAACUUGUGAGAUUUUGGGUGGAGGGAUGGACAGAUGGACGUGUGGAUGGACAACAGCUUUACUAUUGGACUGUUACACCGCUCUGGCACUGGAGACUCCUUCCAAAAAUGCUCAAUAAAUGGAAAUGUCACAGAAAGCUUCACCAUAUCAACAAUUACACACAUUUAUGUGGAACGUCUGCAAUACCAGUCCCUGUAUAUGUUUUUACUGUUCAGUAUUAUAUAACAUAUUUGAAUGAGAGCAUUAAUUACGAUGUAUAAAUAAACUACACAGAUGGGUCAUUUUUUUUUGUUUGUUUUUUUUUAAUGGAAAAUCAGUCAGCACCUUCUGACCAAUUAGCAUCCAGAAUGCAACAGUGCUAUGCUGUGGUAUAAAAUUAGAAUAAGCAAACAGACAUUCUGUAACAGGGAUGCAGGGAGCAUUAGCUCAACAAUACACUUACAGCCCCCUCCGCUAAUAUUGGCACCCUUGGUAAAUAUGAGCAAAGAAGGCUGUGAAAAAUUGUCUUUAUUGUUUAUCCUUCUUGUUAAAAUAAUUCACAAAAAUACUCUGCUCUCAUGGAUAGCAAACAAUUCCAAACACAUGUUUAUCCAAAGAAAAAAAAAUCUUUGUUAAAUAUAGGUAAAGGCCAUUUUUCACAGCCUUCUUGCUCAUAUUUACCCAGGGUGCGGAUAUUCGUGGAGGGCAGUAAUAAUAGAGUUGCCAUGUAAUAUGGAGCUGAAUCGCUGAUUGCCUGUGGUUCCUGUUCAGGUGUGACCUAUAGUGACCUACAUAAAUAUAAGACUGAAUCAGAAACCAAACAAAAUGGCUUCCAACUCAAAGGUCAUGGAGGUGCACGGUGAGCUGUGUGGUGUGAAGCUGGGUGAUUACCAGCUGACUGAGUAAAAUUAAUUCCCAUUAUGCGAUUAUAAAGAAAUCCUCCGAAUGAAUCUGUGCUCAUGCAGAAAUGAAUGCCUGGUGAUAAUGCUGAAAGAUUCAUCCAGUGCGAGAAUGACUCCAUAUGUCACCUUGAGGACCAUCCAGGGUCCAUUAUAUGAUAAUUGGGUCACUUGUCUUCCUGCUGAAUCCUUUUUCUUUUUUUCUUUUCUUUUCUUUUUAUAAAGUUUUCCCAAUCAUUGGUCUAGAACAUGGCUGAGUGUCACGUAUAGCCUGGCAGCUACAGUAUAGUGACUGCAGCACUUCUCAUAUUACUGACUGUUAUUUUCUAUUUGAAUAAAAUUUGUCAUUCAAACAGUUGUGUAGGACUUUGAAGACUAUCUCUUUUUUUUUGUUUUAACUUCAGACAUAUGAUCCGUUAAACGCUACUUUAUUUAACAAGUCCA